rnacentral:rRNA from 1 species
UGGGGAUGACGUCAAGUCAUCAUGGCCCUUACGACCAGGGCUACACACGUGCUACAAUGGCGCAUACAAAGAGAAGCGACCUCGCGAGAGCAAGCGGACCUCAUAAAGUGCGUCGUAGUCCGGAUUGGAGUCUGCAACUCGACUCCAUGAAGUCGGAAUCGCUAGUAAUCGUGGAUCAGAAUGCCACGGUGAAUACGUUCCCGGGCCUU